AACGAACGCUGGCGGCAGGCUUAACACAUGCAAGUCGAGCGCCCCGCAAGGGGAGCGGCAGACGGGUGAGUAACGCGUGGGAAUCUACCGAGCCCUAAGGAAUAGCUCCGGGAAACUGGAAUUAAUACCUUAUACGCCCUUCGGGGGAAAGAUUUAUCGGGGUUUGAUGAGCCCGCGUUGGAUUAGCUAGUUGGUGGGGUAAAGGCCUACCAAGGCGACGAUCCAUAGCUGGUCUGAGAGGAUGAUCAGCCACAUUGGGACUGAGACACGGCCCAAACUCCUACGGGAGGCAGCAGUGGGGAAUAUUGGACAAUGGGCGCAAGCCUGAUCCAGCCAUGCCGCGUGAGUGAUGAAGGCCCUAGGGUUGUAAAGCUCUUUCACCGGUGAAGAUAAUGACGGUAACCGGAGAAGAAGCCCCGGCUAACUUCGUGCCAGCCGCCGCGGUAACAC
rnacentral:rRNA from 1 species